UACGUAGGGGGCAAGCGUUGUCCGGAUUCAUUGGGCGUAAAGAGCGUGUAGGCGGCCAGGUAGGUCGGUUGUGAAAACUGGAGGCUCAACCUUCAGACGUCGACCGAAACCAUCUGGCUAGAGUCCGGGAGAGGAGAGUGGAAUUCCUGGUGUAGCGGUGAAAUGCGCAGAUAUCAGGAAGAACACCCGUGGCGAAAGCGGCUCUCUGGAACGGUACUGACGCUGAGACGCGAAAGCGUGGGGGAGCGAACAGG
rnacentral:rRNA from 1 species